rnacentral:snRNA from 1 species
GGAUGUGAGGGCGAUCUGGCUGUGACAUCUGUCACCCCAUUGAUCGCCAGGGUUGAUUCGGCUGAUCUGGCUGGCUAGGUGGGUGUCCCCUUCCUCCCUCACCGCUCCCUGUGCGUCCCUCCUGAAGCUGCGUGCUCGGUCAAAGAGGACGACCUUCCCUGAUAGAGGAGGAUCCGUCUUUGGUCAAGGGUAUAUGAGUAGCUGUGCUCUCCUGCUAGAACCUCCAAACAAGCUCUCAAAAUAAAAUCCUUAACAUUUCAAACUCUCUAUGUGCCAGGAAAAUCUUAAAAACAUAUACACAAAUAUGUAAAUUAUAGGUACUUC